AUUGAACGCUGGCGGCAGGCCUAACACAUGCAAGUCGAGCGAGUGGCGGACGGGUGAGUAAUGUCUGGGAAACUGCCUUAUGGAGGGGGAUAACUACUGGAAACGGUAGCUAAUACCGCAUACCAUCGGAUGUGCCCAGAUGGGAUUCGCUAGUAGGUGGUGUAAAGGCUCACCUAGGCGACGAUCCCUAGAUGGUCUGAGAGGAUGACCGGCCACACGGGAACUGAGACACGGUCCAGACUCCUACGGGAGGCAGCAGUGGGGAAUAUUGCACAAUGGGCGCAAGCCUGAUGCAGCCAUGCCGCGUGUAUGAAGAAGGCCUUCGGGUUGUAAAGUACUUUCAGCGGGGAGGCGUUACCAGCAGAAGAAGCACCGGCUAACUCCGUGCCAGCAGCCGCGGUAAUUC
rnacentral:rRNA from 1 species